CCCUUAGAUGUCCUGGGCCGCACGCGCGCUACACUGACAUGUUCAACAAGCCUCCUAGUUCGACAGGAUUUGGGAAAUCUUUGAACGCAUGUCGUGAUAGGGAUAGAUCAUUGCAAUUAUUGAUCUUGAACGAGGAAUUCCUAGUAAACGCGAGUCAUCAGCUCGCAUUGAUUACGUCCCUGCCCUUUGUACACACCGCCCGUCGCACCUACCGAUUGAAUGUUUCGGUGAAGAUUCCGGAUAGGACUUUUUUGAUUUAUUUCAAUUUUGUCUUAAAAGCUAUCUAAACCUCAACAUUUAGAGGAAGGAAAAGUCGUAACA
rnacentral:rRNA from 1 species